GACGAACGCUGGCGGCGUGCUUAACACAUGCAAGUCGAGCGGUAAGGCCCUUUCGGGGGUACACGAGCGGCGAACGGGUGAGUAACACGUGGGUGACCUGCCCUCAGCUCUGGGAUAAGCCCGGGAAACUGGGUCUAAUACCGGAUAUGACUCCAUGACGCAUGUUGUGGGGUGGAAAGCCUUGUGCGGCUGAGGAUGGGCCCGCGGCCUAUCAGCUUGUUGGUGGGGUGAUGGCCUACCAAGGCGACGACGGGUAGCCGGCCUGAGAGGGCGACCGGCCACACUGGGACUGAGAUACGGCCCAGACUCCUACGGGAGGCAGCAGUGGGGAAUCUUGCGCAAUGGGCGAAAGCCUGACGCAGCGACGCCGCGUGAGGGAUGACGGCCUGGUGUAAC
rnacentral:rRNA from 1 species